rnacentral:rRNA from 1 species
UACGAAGGGGGCUAGUGUUGCUCGGAAUGACUGGGCGUAAAGGGCGCGUAGGCGGAUGGCACAGUCAGAUGUGAAAUUCCCGGGCUUAACCUGGGGGCUGCAUUUGAUACGUGUGAUCUAGAGUGAGGAAGAGGGUCGUGGAAUUCCCAGUGUAGAGGUGAAAUUCGUAGAUAUUGGGAAGAACACCGGUGGCGAAGGCGGCGACCUGGUCCUUGACUGACGCUGAGGCGCGAAAGCGUGGGGAGCAAACAGG